ensembl:lncRNA
CGUUAGAGUUGGUUGCCAUUCUUUGCUGUAGCUCAUUUGUUCUUUUUGAUCCAAAGAAAUAUUAGAAGCUUAAAACUUAUCACAUAGGAGGGAUUAAUCACGCUACCAAAAUUAGAAAGCAUGUAGUUCUGAGAGACUGAAUGUCCAAAUUGGAUGCUCAUAGCACUUAACCUCUUGAGAAUCUAGAAUCCACUACAACAUUUAAAAUGGCAGCUGAUGUCUAUGGGAACCCUGGAUGUUUAGGAGCUGGCUAAAGCUAGAGUUCUCAUACUCUUUGAUUAAGGGCACCACUUUCAGAUAACAACAUAGACCUGAAUGGCAUCAUCCAGUAUCCAAGGAAACCAUCGUGGUUCCUUGCUAAGCAUAAAAGUUACAAAAAGGAAGAAGAGAGAUAUGGAGGGAGAAAGGAAAGAAAAGAGGAAAGAAAAAUGGCCAUGGGAGGUGGAAUGUCAAUGAUGCUGAAGGUUUGAACCUGGAUGAUCUCAGAAAAGGGCUGCAAGUUUUCUGGCUCUGCCUUGAAGGUAGGAUUUGUUUCCUCCUUGGGAAAAAAUAACUCAUCAGAGAUAUGAAAAAUUCAGCUGAAUUUAUUUAUGGUGUAGAUAAAGAUCUUUUGCAUGCUUUCCAAUGAUGACGUUUUACAAAACUUACAGAGAGAAGAUCCUGGAGUAGCAGGUGUGUGUCGCAGCAGGAGCAGAGGGUAAUGAUGCCGGGAUGCCAUGCUAGGUAACAUGCACAACCGGUUUGUUUGAACAACAAGAACAUGUUAAAUUCAAGCCUUCCUAUGGAUUUGCUCUUUUCUCACUUCUGGUUGAAAUCCUAGGUGAGUUCCAUAGCUUUUUCAUCCACUUUUGUACAAUAAAAGAAGUAUUCUAGUCUCAUAUAGUCAUAAUAAUAAUCCCAUUUCAGUAAUGAAAAUGAACUCCCAAUUUCAUGUAAAGUUAAAAGCUUCUCUCACCCCCUUUUUGGUCCCGCUGCAGAUGAAGAACCCUUUUGACAUCUCUGUCACCGCCAGCUCUGGAGUUUCCGCUUCCUUGUUGGGGUGGGAGGGAGCAGGGCACGGGCAGGUAUGCUAGUGAUCUGUUGUCUUGUUGUGUGUGUACAACUGACCAGUGGGACACUUUUGUGAGCUCCUUAGAGGUUCCCUCAGCAGAACCAUCCAGUCACCUCUCUUCUGCUUAAAUGCUUUAACUGUUCCUCAAUUUGGACAUCAGUUAGGACCCCUCAGCUUCCCUAUGCUAAGGUUACACCAUCCCUAGAAAAAAUCCUUUCAAAAGAACCCCUUAGCCAACUCCCAUCUAAGGGACCCACUUCUGGUCCACAGAAACAUGAAACUCUCUCCUAUUGUUGGGAGUACAGCUCCAAGUACAGCCACAUCUCUUUGCUCUGCCACCAAGCAGACAACUCCAGCUAUAUAAUCUUUUGCCUGACGUUUCUCAAGGGUGAACUAAGCACUUGUCCUCUUUGUCCUCCUAACUUUAAGGAACUAAGAUCAACCUCCCUGAGAGGUACUCUCAAAGCCUCUCUCCUAGGGGAGGGAGAUGGAAAAUUGCUGCAGCCUCCAACAACUUUCUCCAGAGAAAUUCUUUUGUCUCUUUCAGUUUCCUCAGUUUCAGCUCUUUGAGACCCUUGAGUAGAUGUUGAGUCGCCACGUGGUCGUAGUCCACCUCCUUUCAAGUCUUGUAGAGGAGGUCUCGUGCCUCAUUUCGAAAUGUGGGAGAACAUGCCACCUAUUGUUUUGUUCUUAAUUUCAAGGGGCCUCCCCCCAAACUUAGCAAGAGUCCUUCCCUAACACUUUGUUACACAGGCAAGUAUGAGAUGUGUGUAAACCAUGGGCACUAACCAGAAUAAAACUAAUUCACUUAUGGGAAUUUAAAUGCUUAAACAUAGCUCACAAUAAGCAAACAAUAUUGAACAUCAUUUUAAAAAUGUAAAACCACAUAGAAAUCUAUCAAUUAAUUCAUUCAACAAAAAUUGCUUACCAUUUCCUAAGUGCUGACAUUAUCCCAGGUGCUUGAUGUGCAAACAUAUGAUCCUUUUCCUCAUGGAACUAACCAUCUAAUGAGAAAGUCAUAUGCUAGAAUAUGUCCAAAAGUAAUCAGAACACAAUUUAGCAUCACAAUAGAAGGCUCUGCAAAGACCUAAGGGAGCACAGAAGACCGAGUAUCUGAAUUUAAGAAAGGCUUCACAAGGGACAUUUGAGCUGGGUCUUGAGUGAAGACAGGGCUUCCCCAGGGAGAAAGGAGGAAAGUGCAUUUCAGAUGCACAAUGGUUGUGUGAAGGAAGAGACGGAGAGUUUGGAUGGUGUGGCGUGGGAACAAUGAAGAAGGGGUGCAGCUGGUACAUAGGCUGGUGUGAUUGUGGGAUAUGAAUUUGGGGAUUUGGAAAGACUGUUUUAUGCCAAAGAGUUUCAACUUCUUCCUACUUGUACUGGGACAGUAUAAUUAUUGUUUUGCUUUUCAAAUGCUUGUUUAAAAAUCUUACACACAUGUUAUGUAUCAAUAUAUAUAAAAGUGAUCAUAUACAUAUUGCUUUUUCCUUUUCCUUUUUUAAUUGGGUCCUCCUUCCCACUCUUCUCUCUCUUCUCUGUCUUCUCCCCAUUCCCUAGCCACAUUUUUUCCUCUCCAAUUCUUAACACUUAUUUUGUAUCCUUUAUUUAUUUUCUCCUUGGUUACAUAAUCAUAUUCAAGUAUACAGUGUGUGAAUAUACAUAUGUGUAUAUAUAUAUUUUCAAUAUCCAUACACACAGCUUUUUUUUUUGCCAUUGUUUGCUUCACAAAAGAAUACUUUGCAUAUUUUCCUGCAUCUUGCUUUUGUUACUCAACUAUUCUUGGAGAAAAUGUCUCCAAGUCCAUAGGGCUAGCUCCUUGUAGUUUUUAAAAUAGGGACUUAUAUGAUCAGAAUUGUGUAUCAGAGAUAUGAUGUUGUAGUGGACAAUGAAUUAAAAAGCGGGUAGAACCUGGAGGAAGGGGGUAAAUUCAGAGAUUAAUUAGGUAACAAAUGAUGGAGCCUCAGUCAAUGCAGUCAUAGUUUGGCAAAGUCAAUUCUUUGGGACAUACCAGCCUGAAAAAGUGAAUUAUCAUAUCACACACAUCAAUGAAAUGCCAAUGGCCACCAUUAUCUAAUUCUAAAAUUUUCACAUUAGAUCCUCUGAGUGCUGCUUCGAGAAGCAUAGGUUCAACAUCUUUACCACCAGCCUAGCUGCAGUUUUUAGAAAGGUGCAUUAUUCCUCCACAUACAUCCAUAUUUUUCUAUUUCCUCCGUUAUUUGGCACACUUUUCUAAAAAAUAUCCCUAAUCUCAAAGUUGUUUUGAAACUCAAAUGGCUACAUCCUUGGUGGUUUAGUUUAGAAUUCAUGCUUACAUUGUCUUUGAAUAGCAGCAACAUUUUCCUUCUUCCAGUAACACUGUAAUCUUUCCUUAGGUUGCUCAGUAUUGAAUGUGACUACACUACUUUUUACCCAUAUUGCGAUUAAUGCAAUCAUGUAACACAUUCCUAAUGCCAACUAGUGGCCUUAGCAUAUUACGGUAUAAAUUUUCACGAGUUCUUUAUAUUUGAAAAUGUCUUGUCAACAUCCAAACUGGGUAAAUAUUUCAUUGGAGCAUCCAAUAUGUAAUUACCGGUCCUGUUGUACAAUUCUGGUUUUUCUGCAUUUAUAAAUUCCAUUUAUCAUAACCAUGAUAAAGAUAACACAACUUCUUCCAACUUCUGAACCCCAAUGUAAUUAGUAAUUUAUUACUAAUCAUAAAGUGCCUAGAAUACUAAUAAUUUAAUUGUUUUAAAAAUUACUUCUAAAAAUUUACAUAUUUCAGAAAAGUACAUAGAA